UUGGAGGGCAAGUCUGGUGCCAGCAGCCGCGGUAAUUCCAGCUCCAAUAGCGUAUAUUAAAGUUGUUGCAGUUAAAAAGCUCGUAGUUGAAUUUCGGGGCUAGCAGGUUGGUCGUGCCACUGGUAUGAACUGGCCUUGCUGAUUCCUCCCUCUUGAUGAGCCGUAAUGCCAUUAAUUUGGUGUUGCGAGGAAUCAGGACUGUUACUUUGAAAAAAUUAGAGUGUUUAAAGCAGGCAAGCGCUUGAAUACAUUAGCAUGGAAUAAUGAAAUAGGACGUUUGAUCUUAUUUUGUUGGUUUCUAAGAUUGACGUAAUGAUUAAUAGGGAUAGUUGGGGGCAUUAGUAUUCAAUUGUCAGAGGUGAAAUUCUUGGAUUUAUUGAAGACUAACUACUGCGAAAGCAUUUGCCAAGGAUGUUUUCAUUAAUCAAGAACGAAAGUUAGGGGAUCGAAGACGAUCAGAUACCGUCGUAGUCUUAACCAUAAACUAUGCCGACUAGGGAUCGGAUGAUGUUAAUUUUUUAAUGACUCAUUCGGCACCUUACGGGAAAC
rnacentral:rRNA from 1 species